rnacentral:misc_RNA from 1 species
GAUGAAGAACGCAGCGAAAUGCGAUACUUGGUGUGAAUUGCAGAAUCCCGUGAACCAUCGAGUCUUUGAACGCAAGUUGCGCCCGAAGCCACUAGGCCGAGGGCACGCCUGCCUGGGCGUCACACGCCGUUGCCCCCCCAUCUACUCCUUCGGGAUUGCGGGGGGGCGGAUGAUGGCCUCCCGUGCGCCUAGCCGCGCGGUUGGCAUAAAUACCAAGUCCUCGGCGACGCACGCCACGACAAUCGGUGGUUGCGAAACCUCGGUUGCCCGUCGUGUGCGUUCGUCGCGCAUCGAGGGCUCGAAAAAAUGCUCGGCUCCGGCUGGGCUAUCAACGCGACCCCAGGUCAGGCGGGGUUACCCGCUGAAUUUAAGCAUAUCAAUAAGCGGAGGA